rnacentral:rRNA from 1 species
CAAGUCAAGGGGGCGGAGCAAUCCGCAACCGGCGAACGGGUGCGUAACACGUGAGCGACCUACCUCAUCACGGGGGAUAGCCGGCCCAACGGCCGGGUAAUACCGCAUACGCUCUUUCUGGGGCAUCCUGGGGGGAGGAAACUUUCGAGGCGGAGAGAGGGGCUCGCGGCCUAUCAGCUAGUUGGCGGGGUAAUGGCCCACCAAGGCGGUGACGGGUAGCUGGUCUGAGAGGAUGGCCAGCCACAUUGGGACUGAGAGACGGCCCAGACUCCUACGGGAGGCAGCAGUGGGGAAUCUUGCGCAAUGGCCGAAAGGCUGACGCAGCGACGCCGCGUGGGGGAGGAAGGGCUUCGGCUCGUAAACCCCUGUUGCCCGGGGCGAACCUCUGGUUUCGACCAGACUGACGGUACCGGGUGAGGAAGCGCCGGCUAACUCCGUGCCAGCAGCCGCGGUAAUACGGAGGGUGCGAGCGUUGUCCGGAAUCACUGGGCGUAAAGGGCGCGUAGGUGGCCGAGCAAGGUCGCGGUGAAAGCCCGGGGCUCAACCCCGGGUCGGCCGUGGCAACUACUCGGCUUGAGCACUGUAGGGGCGGGUGGAAUUCCGGGUGUAGCGGUGGAAUGCGUAGAGAUCCGGAAGAACACCGGUGGCGAAGGCGGCCCCGUGGGCAGGAAGGUGGAGCAAUCCACCGGCUGACACUGAGGCGCGACACGCUGGGGAGCAAACAGGAUUAGAUACCCUGGUAGUCCACGCCGUAAACGAUGGGCACUAGGUGCUUGGGGGAGCGACCCUCCGACUGCCGGCGCUAACGCAUUAAGUGCCCCGCCUGGGGA